rnacentral:tRNA from 1 species
GGCUCAGUAGUUCAAUGGUAAAUCGUUUGUCGCGGAGCCAGAGGGUCCUGGGUUCGAUCUUCAACAAGGUCG